rnacentral:rRNA from 1 species
GGGCCCGCACAAGCGGUGGAGCAUGUGGUUUAAUUCGAUGCAACGCGAAGAACCUUACCAGGGUUUGACAUCCUGCGAAUCUCUUGGAAACGAGAGAGUGCCUUCGGGAACGCAGUGACAGGUGGUGCAUGGCUGUCGUCAGCUCGUGUCGUGAGAUGUUGGGUUAAGUCCCGCAACGAGCGCAACCCACGUCGUUAGUUGCCAGCAUUUAGUUGGGCACUCUAACGAAACUGCCAGUGCAAACUGUGAGGAAGGUGGGGAUGACGUCAAAUCAUCACGGCCCUUACGUCCUGGGCUACACACGUGCUACAAUGGCCGGUACAGAGAGCAGCCACUUCGCAAGAAGGAGCGAA